UUCUAAAUGCCUCCUUUCAGGCAUGGACAACUCUAGACCAACCAAACAUGAGCCUGGUGGGCUUUGGGAUUACUUGACAGCUGCAGGAAGACGUGACUGAAUUUGAGUGGAUCCAAUGACACUGACAGCUGCAAUGUCAUCUCUCACAGAACCAUGCCUUUUCGAGUCACCAUGCCAUGCUGUGGGAACACUCAGGCAGCUUAUGGAGCGGCAGACCAUGGCGAGGAAGAAAGGCCUGUGGCAACUAUGUGAAUAAGCCUGGAAGCAAAUCUUCUGAGGCAUUCCAGCAGCCAUGCUACUGAGCUUGGAAGUGGAUCCUCUGGCCCCAGUUGAGCCUUCAAAGGAUCAUAGCACCAGCUGACAGCUUAAUGCAAGCUCAAGAAGAAACCUGGGUCAUAACUACCCUUCUAAGCUGCUACC